rnacentral:lncRNA from 1 species
GAGGAGGGCGCCCGGGCGCCGCUUCCCAACGCAAAGGCGGGUUUCCCUUGGAGUUAAAGAGCAGGUGGUGGGAGCCUUUCGGACCAGAAGAGACCCCGGCUGGCCUCCGCUUCCCCAAGGACGGGUAGGGUGGAUGGGGAAGGAGAGAGGCCAAGCAGGGUGCCCCCGUUGUGGUUCUCCGCGGCGCCUCUUGCCCCUGGGAAGUUUGGGGUGUGGUGUCUCCCUCUUCGUGAUGGGGACCAAGGUGUAGGAGGACGCGAGCAGUGGAAACCCGGGGUCCCCAGAGAGUUCUGUAGAGGAAAGGUGAGAUGCUCUGCCUAUCAAGUGUAUCAAAGAUUAAGCUGAUGUUUAUGGGCUAAUCCGGAAGCCAAAAACCAAAUUGUUUCAUUACAUCUAUCAGAAAAUAUGUGUGAGUUCCCACUGGCUGACUUAUAAAGAAAUACAACCCAAUGUAAGUUGUAGAAAUACCGUGUGUUGACCUUUAUUAUCACUCUGUUAAAGUGUGUGUCUGUUUGUAUAUGUACA